CGAGCCGCCGCGGUAACGACCGGCGGCCCGAGUGGUGAUCGUGAUUAUUGGGUCGUAAGGGUCCGUAGCCGGUUUGGUCAGUCCUCCGGGAAAUCUGAUAGCUCAACUAUUAGGCUUUCGGGGGAUACUGCCAGACGUUGGAACCGGGAGAGGUAAGAGGUACUACAGGGGUAGGAGUGAAAUCUUGUAAUCCCUGUGGGACCACCUGUGGCGAAGGCGUCUUACCAGAACGGGUUCGACGGUGAGGGACGAAAGCUGGGGGGCACGAACCGGAUUAGAUACCCGGGUAGUCCCAGCCGUAAACGAUGCUCGCUAGGUGUCAGGCAUGGCGCGACCGUGUCUGGUGCCGCAGGGAAGCCGUGAAGCGAGCCACCUGGGAAGUACGGCCGCAAGGCUGAAACUUAAAGGAAUUGGCGGGGGAGCACAACAACGGGUGGAGCCCUGCGGUUUAAUUGGACUCAACGCCGGACAACUCACCGGGGGCGACAGCAAUAUGUAGGCCAAGCUGAAGACUUUGCCUGAAUCGCUGAGAAGAGGUGCAUGG
rnacentral:rRNA from 1 species